GCCUCGGUAGUAUAGUCCGGUCAAGUAUGGCGGCCUCUCGAGCCGCGAACCCGAGUUCAAAUCUCGGCCGAGGCA
rnacentral:tRNA from 1 species